AAAGAUGGAAAAUAUUAUCGAAUUAAUUAUUUCAAACACUGAAUGUCUACCUAGGGUAAUAUCAGGUAAAAUGGGCCAUCAGCUAAAAUCGGCCAUUUAAGGUUUGGGGGUCCCAGCCAAGCGGCAACAUUCUAAUCUGAACAAUGAAGCCUACCCGGAAGUUCGAAAAACUGCAAUACAUCGAAAAUCCGCUAGGGACUGGUCCCAAAAGCGAGCAAAUGUCCAUAGACUCCCAUGUUAAAAUGUCCGUUUUCACAGCGUAAAUACAUGUUUUUAAAGCCUGGUCCCAUGGACUUUUAUUGUACUUUUCGGUAGUUUCCCAGUGCCUGACAACUGUGAGGGGGGUGAAUUUGUUUCUAACUCAUUAGUUUAGAUCACAUUUAGAUAUAAAAUAUAUGAAUAAUUAAGGGCGUGGUCGGCUUGAUUGACGGCUGACGUCGAGGCAUACAGCAGCAGACGUUGCCAGCUGAGUGGAAAGUGGAAACCCUGAAACUUUGACGUCUCAGCCAUGAUUAUACACAAAGUUACCACAUCCUUUCUGAACAUCUUUAUUCAAAAAGCUGACAUAAAAUGGUUUGCUAAGCUAUUAAUUGAAGCCUACUAACCGACACUUUCAGAAGACUUCGUUCCAGUUUUUUCAGUUUCCCUGUAGGUAAUCCAGACAGGCUGGGUGCUGGAGGGCUCUGGACUCCUAACUUCAAUUCUCGUCUGUGCAGUCGACACUCAGAAGCAUGACUUCAGCACUGAUUCCAUGAUGGGGCAGAAGUCAUUGAGCAGUGGCAGCUUCUGAUUUCAAGGACUUUGUUCACCUUUAUUUACAGCAUUUGCAUCUGUGUCUUUAAAGUGAUCUAAUAUGUAUUGACUAUGUACUAGCUUAGAACAUAUUAGUUUUUGUUAUUUUAGUUUCACAAAUUCAGUGGUUACCUGUAAUGCUCAAGAUAUACAAGUAAAAAAUCACCUUUACUUCUGCAUCUGGGUCUUCAAUUCAACCUACUGACUGAAGCUGACGGAUUUGUAUAAAUGUUUUUGAAAGCACAGGCAAAUUGGUUUGGCAUGAGUUUUAAUGUAAUUCACAGUUCAGAAAAGUUCCAUAAACAUUUCCAAGUGCAAGUUCAGUGCCAUCAACAGUAAGUUUGCUUUCUGAU